GACGAACGCUGGCGGCGUGCCUAAUACAUGCAAGUCGAGCGGACUUUCAAGAAGCUUGCUUUUUGAAAGUUAGCGGCGGACGGGUGAGUAACACGUGGGCAACCUGCCUGUAAGACGGGGAUAACUCCGGGAAACCGGGGCUAAUACCGGAUAAUAUCUUUCUUCGCAUGAAGGAAGGUUGAAAGGCGGCGCAAGCUGCCGCUUGCAGAUGGGCCCGCGGCGCAUCAGCUAGUGGGUGAGGUAACGGCUCACCAAGGCGACGAUGCGUAGCCGACCGGGGAGGGUGAUCGGCCAAACUGGGACGGCGACAGGGGCCAGACUCCUACGGGAGGCAGCAGUAGGGAAUCUUCCGCAAUGGACGAAAGUCUGACGGAGCAACGCCGAGUGAGCGAAGAAGGUCUUCGGAUCGUAAUGCUCUGUUGUCAGGGAAGAACAAGUACCGUUCGAAUAGGGCGGUACCUUGACGGUACCUGACCAGAAAGCCACGGCUAACUACGUGCCAGCAGCCGCCGUAA
rnacentral:rRNA from 1 species